rnacentral:rRNA from 1 species
UACAGAGACUGCAAGCGUUAUUCGGAUUCACUGGGCGUAAAGGGUGCGCAGGCGGUCGCGUGUGUCAGGUGUGAAAUCUCGGGCUUAACUCCGAAACUGCGCCUGAAACUACGUGACUAGAGCAUUGGAGAGGGUAGCGGAAUUCACGGGUGUAGCAGUGAAAUGCGUAGAUAUCGUGAGGAACACCAGAGGCGAAGGCGGCUACCUGGACAAUUGCUGACGCUCAGGCACGAAAGCGUGGGGAGCAAAAGGG